GUGGGAAUGGCGGUGGUGGAGGUUAUGGUAUUGGGGGAGAACAUGGUGGUGGUUAUGGUGGAGGUGCAGGAGGUGGAGCUGGUGGUGGUUAUGGUGGAGAACAUGGCAUAGGAUAUGGAGGAGGUGGUGGAAGUGGUGGAGGUGGUGGAGCUGGGUAUGGCGCAGGAGGAGCUCAAGGAGGUGGAUAUGGCACUGGAGGAGGUGCUGGUGGUGGUGCAGGAGGAGAGCAUGGUAGUGGAUACGGUGGUGGUCAAGGAGGUGGAGCUGGUGGAGGCUAUAGUGGAGAGCAUGGAGGAGGAUAUGCUGGUGGUGAAGGAGGUGGAGCUGGAGCUGGAGGAGGUUAUGGUGGUGGGGGAGAGCAUGGUGCUUCUGGCUACGGAGGUGGGGAAGGAGGUGGAGCCGGAGGAGGUUAUGGUGGCGGGGGAGAGCAUGGUGCUUCUGGC
rnacentral:lncRNA from 1 species